rnacentral:miRNA from 1 species
GCAAUUAUUAUUCUCAGGUGUA